rnacentral:tRNA from 1 species
GCGCCCAUAGCUCAAUUGGAUAGAGUGUUGGCCUCCGGAGCCAAAGGUUGCAGGUUCGAUUCCCGCUGGGCGCA